UACGUAGGCAGCGAGCGUUGUUCGGAGUUACUGGGCGUAAAGGGUGCGUAGGCGGUCGUUUAAGUUUGGUGUGAAUCUCCCGGCUCAACUGGGAGGGUGCGCCGAAUACUGAAUGACUAGAGUGCGGGAGAGGAUAGUGGAAUUCCUGGUGUAGCGGUGAAAUGCGUAGAUAUCAGGAGGAACACCGGUGGUGUAGACGGCUAUCUGGACCGUAACUGACGCUGAGGCACGAAAGCGUGGGUAGCAAACAGG
rnacentral:rRNA from 1 species